UUUUCAUUUCACAUAAAUUUGAUAUAAAGGGCCACAGAUCUAUAUAGUAAUUUGGGCAAAUCAGUUUAGGAGUAGCUCAGAAUAAGUAACAUUUUCACAAUAUCUCUUUUUCUUCCUUUCAUUAUCCAAAGUGUCUGUACACUUAACUUAAAUUACAUUUGUCUUUUAGACCACUGCAAAAAAGUGAAACAAUUUUUCUCCCAAAAACUUUAAAUUUGUAAGAGGUCUAUGAAAUAGACUGGUAGCCCAAAUUUAGUGCCUAUGAAAAAGUGCCAGUACUAGAAAAAAAAUAGCUCUUCAAGUCAAAAAAGGGAAAAAAGGAGGAAAACUAUUUAUGGUCUUUCCAAAGCAGAUAUUUUCCAAAAAGCAAUGUAAAACCUGUGCAGAGAAGCAAGCCUGUUUUGCCUGGACUGGUUUGAAGAAGGGUCCCAGCUCUGGCACCCAUCAGCACAGGAGUUGGCCUCUUCAUCUCUGUAAUGCCACACAUGAAGUCACAUGGAAAAGGUUCACACGGGAUGUCUUUGAAGUGUAGCCCUUGGACUUCACAUGGACCAGCUUUCCAAAGUGAGAAAUACAAAUUAUGUCUGUUUAUUGUCUCCAUGAAAAAAAAUCAGUGCUUUGUUUAAAGUCUGUUCUGAGGUGAGCACAUGCUUGUCUCUGUGGUCACUGACAUUUUUUCAAUAAUGUGAAAACAAUGGUUAAAAUGGUGAAAUCCUAUUCUUUAUAUGAUUUGAUUCUUGUAUUAUUUGAAGCUUGCAGGAUGCAUUUUUGUCAUUUUUGGUGGUGGCAGCUCUGUUUUCUAAAUUUUUUUGUUUGGGUUGGGUUUUUUUAAUUACACUAUUUGACUGGAACACUGUAAAGAGAAAUGAUCCUUUGCUCCUGUCGCUCUUGGUUCUCACUGAAAGCAGGCUGGUAGUUGCAGACAAACCAAGCCUGCUGUGCCUGCCUUCAGCCUGAGCAGAACAGGCAGAUUGCAAACCAGCCUGUAUCUGAAAUCUGCCCAGCUGUGUGCAGGUAACACCAGCCUGAGACAGGAAUCCCUGGACAUGAAGAUUUUCCUGUUGCUUUGGCUGAUUUCACAGCGUAGACAUGCUCACAAUAGAGUCCUGUUCUGUAGUACUUGUCUCUGCAGACAAGGAUCACUUUCCCACCCAAAUGUCAAUCCUCACCAAACUUAGGAGCUGUAAUAGAAUUAUUACUCUUCCAUCAAGAGAGCAGACAUCAUGAUGUAGCUUGACAGUGUCUCUGUGAUGGAACCAGAAGCAGAAGCCAAAUCUCCCAUAGAGUUCUCAACUCUUGUCACAUUAUGGGGUAUCAAGAGAAAUUUCACUGAAGUAAAAGAAAUUAUUUUUCUUCUAAAUACCUAGAACAGGCUGAAAAAUGAGGUAAUGAGAUCCUAAGAAUUCCCACUGUUCAGCAGGUAUUUGACCACUCUGUAAUGUCAUUUGGACUUAAAAACCGCCAUCCUUUAAAUGGAGUACCCCUCUUCUGGAAGAGCUGUGUUUUAAGCUUCUGAUGCAAAACACCUCAAGGUUGGCAUAAAUUCAAAAUCACACUUCGGUCCAGAUCCAAAUUUUGUACUGCUCCUCAGUAAGCUCAGCCAAGGACCCCUCUCCUAACAUGUGUGGAUAUUGGGGUAUUUGAAAUCCAACUCCAAAUUCCAACUUAAGCCACGGUCUAAUGUAAACAAAGUUAAUGGCUUGUCAGCAUGGGGCUGUAAAACAAUGUGGGUACUGUCAUAAUAUUGAUGUAAGGAAACUUGAAAUAUAUAGCCAUUUUUCUGAAUAUAACAGUGGCUUUUGCUCUUAGGGAAAAGUCAUUAAAUUAGUAUGUCCAGGUUAUGUAGCAGCCAGAGAAAAUAUACAAUUGUGGCAGCCAAGAAAUUACAUGGAAAAGAAAUUGUGCCCUGACCCAUUGACCGCAGUGCCAAACAGUGACUGCCAUUUAGUGUUGUAUCACCUGGGUUUUAUACCCACGUGUUACAGCUCACAGGCAACUGUGCCUGUGUGGAAACAGGAGAAACACAUGUUUGACCUGCACCUCUCAAGGGAUGGCUGAAGUAUGAGCCAGGCAGAGAGUUUGAAAGAGUAAAGAAAACAAAAUAUAGAUACUGCACUGGAAUAUAUAAUUUAUUAUUGGUUUGUACCAAUGAAACUUGUUGGCAGCAGUAUAUCAUUAACUGAUGAUGAAUCAAGGUCAGCUUUAAAGACUCAGGUGGAAUUUCUCAGGUGACAUACUACAAACUCAAAGUGUGGUUAUUGCUGUUCAUCUGAAAUCUCAAACAAACUUCCCUAAGGAUUACCUUCUAAAACAACAUAAAAUAAUUUGAACUGAUUUAAUGAUUCACAACUGUUGGAAAGUAAGUGUAAUUCACUUUGCAGUGAUCUGUAGAAACUGUGAAUACUCAAUUAUUUCAGCCCAUCUCUGUAAUAAAUUAUUUUAGCUUCUGAAUUGAUUUAUGUCA
rnacentral:lncRNA from 1 species